ACCUACAAAGACAGAAYGACCCGUGAACUCGUGAAUAAUUACUCGGGAGAUGCGCCCUCGGGCCUCCUCCCGAGAGUCCACGGCGAAGGUUGUGGACAAAAUCCGCAUCCUUGGCUGCGGGCAAAAACUAACAAAACCCCGGCGCGAGUCGCGCCAAGGAAAAUGAAGAAGGAUGCGUUCCCCYYUGYCCSGRAAAGGKGCAUUGGGGGGGAUUACAUCGUCGUUAUCGUAUUUAAAACGACUCUCGGCAACGGAUAUCUCGGCUCUCGCAUCGAUGAAGAACGUAGCGAAAUGCGAUACUUGGUGUGAAUUGCAGAAUCCCGUGAACCAUCGAGUUUUUGAACGCAAGUUGCGCCCAAAGCCAUUAGGCUGAGGGCACGCCUGCCUGGGUGUCACGAAAAGUCGCCGAUCCCCCUCUCGCCCCUUUACAAGAGCGGAAGUAGCGAGGGAUGGCGGAUGUUGGCCUCCCGUGCGCUCGUGCGGGCGGUUGGCCGAAAAAUUAGGUCUGCCGGCGAGGUGGCCGCGACACACGGUGGUUGGAAGCGCACGCUCUCCUCGGACACACCGUCGUGUGCUAGCCUCGUUUACGGUGAGCCAAAGACCCCGACGCAUGGCGUCAUCGCGAAG
rnacentral:rRNA from 1 species